rnacentral:rRNA from 1 species
UACGAAGGGGGCUAGCGUUGCUCGGAAUCACUGGGCGUAAAGCGCACGUAGGCGGAUUCUUAAGUCGGUGGUGAAAUCCUGGAGCUCAACUCCAGAACUGCCUUCGAUACUGAGAGUCUUGAGUUCGGGAGAGGUGAGUGGAACUGCGAGUGUAGAGGUGAAAUUCGUAGAUAUUCGCAAGAACACCAGUGGCGAAGGCGGCUCACUGGCCCGAUACUGACGCUGAGGCGCGAAGGCGUGGGGAGCGAACGGGG